GGUCAAGAAAACGUACUUUGGGUCUUUUGAGGCGCAUUGACAAACUCGUAUUAACAUCGAUUGAAGAGACAACGUUUCAGUCGUUGAUGGAGCUUCUAAAGGUAACUCUUCCCAAAAAGUUAAAACACAGUUGGCUUGGUUGUUCUCAUAGCAUUGUUUUGUUUUGUAGACACCAAAAGACUUAAAUGUCUACACUCGUUGACCACCAGAGGUAAUAGCAAGGCAACGUGUGAUACAAUCUGUGACAUUUUCUUGAAACAGGAAAUGCCAAUUCAAAAUUCGAACAGAAGCUUUUGCUUAUACCUGAUUCUGAGGUUGAUCACAGAUCACAGUUGCAAACUACACAUAUGUUUAUUGCUAUAGUUUCCAUACACCAGGAACCUGAAGGGUUGGAAGACACUACUAUAAGUUCUUGCAGUUCGCAACAUUCUCCUAAUUA
rnacentral:lncRNA from 1 species